rnacentral:rRNA from 1 species
GGGCCCGCACAAGCGGUGGAGCAUGUGGUUUAAUUCGAUGAUACGCGAGGAACCUUACCAGGGCUUAAAUGGGAAAUGACAGGGGCAGAGACGCCCCCUUCUUCGGACAUUUUUCUAAGGUGCUGCAUGGUUGUCGUCAGCUCGUGCCGUGAGGUGUCAGGUUAAGUCCUAUAACGAGCGCAACCCCUACCGUUAGUUGCCAGCGUGUAAUGACGGGGACUCUAACGGAACUGCCGGUGCAAACCGUGAGGAAGGUGGGGACGACGUCAAAUCAUCACGGCCCUUACGUCCUGGGCCACACACGUGCUACAAUGGUAGGUACAGAGGGAAGCAAGUUUGCAAAGACAAGCCAAUCUCAUAAACUCGGUCUCAGUUCGGAUUGCAGGCUGCAACUCGCCUGCAUGAAGUUGGAAUCGCUAGUAAUCG